rnacentral:rRNA from 1 species
UGAGGAAUCUUGCGCAAUGGGGGAAACCCUGACGCAGCAACGCCGCGUGAGUGAGGAAGGUCUUCGGAUCGUAAAGCUCUGUCAGAUGGGAAGAAAUGCUUGGGGGUGAAUAUCCUUCAUGCUUGACGGUACCAUCAGAGGAAGCACCGGCUAACUCCGUGCCAGCAGCCGCGGUAAUACGGGGGGUGCAAGCGUUGUUCGGAAUCAUUGGGCGUAAAGAGCGUGUAGGCGGCUUGAUAAGUCAGAUGUGAAAGCCCUGGGCUUAACCCGGGAAGUGCAUUUGAAACUGUCUUGCUUGAGUAGGGGAGAGGGAAGUGGAAUUCCUGGUGUAGAGGUGAAAUUCGUAGAUAUCAGGAGGAACACCGGUGGCGAAGGCGACUUCCUGGCCCUAUACUGACGCUGAGACGCGAGAGCGUGGGUAGCAAACA